GGCCGCGGGAAUUCGAUUACUGCUCAGUAACACGUGGACAACCUGCCCUAAGGUGAGGGAUAACCCCGGGAAACUGGGGAUAAUACCUCAUAAUCUACAGAUGCUGGAAUGCUCUGUAGGUGAAAGGUCAGCCGCCUUAGGAUGGGUCUGCGGCCGAUUAGGUAGUUGUUGGGGUAACGGCCCAACAAGCCUGUAAUCGGUACGGGUUGUGGGAGCAAGAGCCCGGAGAUGGAUUCUGAGACAAGAAUCCAGGCCCUACGGGGCGCAGCAGGAGCGGAAACUUUACAAUGCAGGUAACUGUGAUAAGGGAACCCCGAGUGCCCGUAUGGACGGGCUGUUCAGGUAUGUAAAGAACACCUGGAGAAAGGGCCGGGCAAGACCGGUGCCAGCCGCCGCGGUAAUACCGGCGGCUCGAGUGGUGGCCACUAUUACUGGGCUUAAAGCGUCCGUAGCUGGGUAGUUAAGUCUCUUGGGAAAUCUUCCGGCUCAACCGGAAGGCGUCUAAGGGAUACUGGCUACCUAGGGAUCGGGAGAGGUGAGAGGUACUCUGGGGGUAGGAGUGAAAUCCUGUAAUCCCUUAGGGGACCACCUGUGGCGAAGGCGUCUCACCAGAACGACUCCGACAGUGAGGGGACGAAAGCUGGGGGAGCAAACCGGAUUAGAUACCCGGGUAGUCCCAGCUGUAAACUAUGCGUGUUAGGCGUAUCGGUGACCACGAGUUACCGAGGUGCCGAAGGGAAACCGUGAAACGCGCCGCCUGGGAAGUACGGUCGCAAGGCUGAAACUUAAANGGA
rnacentral:rRNA from 1 species